GACGAACGCUGGCGGCGUGCUUAACACAUGCAAGUCGAGCGGAAAGGCCCUUCGGGGUACUCGAGCGGCGAACGGGUGAGUAACACGUGAGUAAUCUGCCCUUCACUCUGGGAUAGCCACCGGAAACGGUGGUUAAUACCGGAUACGACCAAUCCCUGCAUGGGGUGUUGGUGGAAACUUUUUUGGGUGGGGGAUGUGCUCGCGGCCUAUCAGCUUGUUGGUGGGGUAAUGGCCUACCAAGGCUUCGACGGGUAGCCGGCCUGAGAGGGUGACCGGCCACACUGGGACUGAGACACGGCCCAGACUCCUACGGGAGGCAGCAGUGGGGAAUAUUGGACAAUGGGCGGAAGCCUGAUCCAGCAACGCCGCGUGAGGGAUGACGGCCUUCGGGUUGUAAACCUCUUUCAGCACCGACGAAGCGCAAGUGACGGUAGGUGCAGAAGAAGGACCGGCCAACUACGUGCCAGCCGCCGCCGUAAAAC
rnacentral:rRNA from 1 species